AGAGAAUAGAUACCCUGGUAGUCCACGCCGUAAACGAUGGAUGCUAGCUGUUAUCAGUAUCGACCCUGGUAGUAGCGAAGCUAACGCGUUAAGCAUCCCGCCUGUGGAGUACGAGCGCAAGCUUAAAACAUAAAGGAAUUGACGGGGACCCGCACAAGCGGUGGAGCGUGUUCUUUAAUUCGAUGGUAAGCGAAGAACCUUACCAGGGUUUGACAUCCUACUAAUCCAGGUGAAAGCCAGGAGUGCCUUCGGGCCGUAGAGACAGGUGUUGCAUGGCCGUCGUCAGCUCGUGUCGUGAGAUGUUUGGUUAAGUCCAUUAACGAGCGCAACCCUUAUGGCUAGUUGAAUUUCUCUAGUCAGACUGCCCCGGUAACGGGGAGGAAGGAGGGGAUGAUGUCAGGUCUGUAUUACCCUUACACCCUGGGCUAGAAACACGCUACAAUGGCCGGUACAAAGCGCAGCUAAGCCGCGAGGUGGAGCAAAUCGCAUCAAAGCCGGUCUCAGUUCGGAUAGCAGGCUGAAACUCGCCUG
rnacentral:rRNA from 1 species